AUGAGGCAGACUGGGAUCUUUCAGGCAGAGUCGAAACAUUACCUACAAUCCCUCAACAGAAAUCCCUGCCACUAAAGGGCUGAUCUCUGAAUGCUGUAAGAUCGAAGUCACCAAGGAUAUUCUGGAAUUAUGUGAAGGUCUAAGUGUCUUUAAGCUGCAAGCCUGGCAGCGGAAGUGGAUGAUGUCAGAAUUCUCAGAGCUGGGGGAACUUUCAGAGAUCUGCCGGUUCCAUCAACAGCCUAAACCAAGGCUACACCUCUUUCUCAAACCCAUAAGAAGUCGUGUCCUUCAAAUGAGAACCUUCAUGGAGUUUCAGAGGUAAAUGGGCAUCAUUUCAGGACGAUGAGGGAAGAUUACUAAAGCUCCCCAGUGAUGAAACCAUGGGCUCGUGCCGUCUGCCUCAUUACAAGGUGAACUCCUCAAACUGUGCACCCCUAGCACCCGAUGCACCUCUGGCUGAAGCAGGCGCCCUGGGAAUGCCGUGUGUGUCGGUCGCAAGCAGGCAGAUGCCUCGGUGUCAUCUGAGGGAUGCCCACAAGACUACCAGGUGGGUCAGCGAUCAAGACUCCGCCUGCCAACGCAGGAGACGCCAGAUCAAUGCCUAGGUCAAGAAGAU